GGAAGGAUGGCGAGAAGAAUGCAAGCCAAACAGGAAGCACCUUUCUGUGCAAGAUGGGGAAUCAUCACAGACCUUUUUAGUGAAAAAUCCCCAAACGAAGCAACAUGUACUCAUUUUCCUGGUUCUGGGGAAGUUUCAAUUAGAAACAUUCACUGAACAAUCAUUUGCAAGCAGAAGACAAUGAGCUUGGACAGGAUAAUAGUCAGAAAGUUCCCUCAAAAACACCACCCAUCUGCUGUCUAUGUGCCAAAACUUGACACACACGCCGAGGGAGGCGUACAUUCAGCAAAGCCGAAAGCAGGGCAAUGCUUAAAAGGGAUCUACUCGAUCGCGUGGUUUGUGAAGCUAGAGCGAACAAAUUGAAUGGAAACUGCGGAAGGUGAAACAGAGUGCAAGUCGCGCGCAGAGGAUGAGGCCAGGGAGCUUGAUUCACAUAAUCACAACCACAAAAAAGAAAUAAGGUAUGAUUGAUGAGCAGUGCUGUGGCGCAAAAGUGGUUCCCAACUCUCUGUGCUGCAUCAAUAGACUUCACCACAUCAGCUUCCGAUACUGGCGCUGGAAAAAAAGGACAACAUCGCCACCUGCUGGUUCAUCUGCCUACUUACAGCAAUUCUGGAAAUAUAUGGCCCGCGGUUUAUGUACGGCCCUUCAUCAUCAUUUGGCCGAAAAAUAUUAAUUACAAAUUUAUCUUCAUUCAUCUAUUUAUGCCAGCAACAUAUAGUGAUUACAUACUCUUCUCUGAGAUGGCAGACGGUACAACCAGUCUAUCCACCUGCUUCCAUUCAACAGAGUAAGUCAUCGUUUCCUAAAAGUAUAUAAGCAGUGUAUUCAAUUAAACAGGCCCAAAUUUCACACUUCUGAGUAAAUUCAAAGUACGUCAUCGUUAUUUUAGCGCUAAUAAUUUUUGUGACAUUUUUGCUCGGUGGGGUGCUUUCAGUUUUCUGAUAUACUGUAAAAUGGGGGCCUUUACGCAAAAAAAAAAAAAAGUGUCGGAAACACUUGUCCAGGCCUCUGAGCAUUUUCAAAGGUUCUGUAAUAUUUUUUGCCGUUUUUUUUAACCCUAAAAUUGGUUAGUUUAAAUGUAUUAAUUAAUUUAUGUUGUAUUCAUUCAUCUAACUAAAUACUGUAAUUUGUUAAUUAAUUAUUAUUAAUUAAUUAUUUUAUCUAAGGCUAUUUUACAUGCAAAUUGAAACGUUUUUUUUUAUCCCCAUCUACAAAUGACCUGGGCCAUCAGUCCAUUAAAAAAAAAAAAAUCAAGUGUCCCUUGCGUACUGAAGUUCGUCUACUCCUGAUCUACAUUAUUCAGACAUUAUUUGCAUCUAUCCAUUGGGUGCAGCCCGGACUGGUCGCCUGUCCAUCCCAGUGUAAACAUUUACACCUAUGGACAAUUUAGUCUUAAACAAACCUAAAAUGCAUAUUUUUGAAAUGUGGCAGGAAGUCGGAGUACCCGGAGAAAACCCACACAUGCAUGCAUGUAAACUCCAAGAUUCGAGCCCAGCACCUCUCGACUGUCUGUGAGGCCGAUGUGCUCACCAGUCACUACUCUAGCACUGUGCUGCUAUGCAUGUCAAUUUUUCUUAUUAUAUCUGUCUGUUUCACUGACUAUUGUAUUUUCUUUAACCUAAG